GACUAAUGUUGAAAAAUUAGCGGAUGACUUGUGGCUGGGGGUGAAAGGCCAAUCAAACCGGGAGAUAGCUGGUUCUCCCCGAAAGCUAUUUAGGUAGCGCCUCGUGAAUUCAUCUUCGGGGGUAGAGCACUGUUUCGGCUAGGGGGUCAUCCCGACUUACCAACCCGAUGCAAACUACGAAUACCGAAGAAUGUUAUCACGGGAGACACACGGCGGGUGCUAACGUCCGUCGUGAAGAGGGAAACAACCCAGACCGCCAGCUAAGGUCCCAAAGUCAUGGUUAAGUGGGAAACGAUGUGGGAAGGCACAGACAGCCAGGAUGUUGGCUUAGAAGCAGCCAUCAUUUAAAGAAAGCGUAAUAGCUCACUGGUCGAGUCGGCCUGCGCGGAAGAUGUAACGGGGCUAAACCAUGCACCGAAGCUGCGGCAGCGACACUAUGUGUUGUUGGGUAGGGGAGCGUUCUGUAAGCCUGCGAAGGUGUGCUGUGAGGC
rnacentral:rRNA from 1 species